rnacentral:tRNA from 1 species
AUAGCUCAAGUGGUAGAGUACUUGUCUAGCAAGCAUGAGGCCCUGAGUUCAAAUCCUAGU